rnacentral:miRNA from 1 species
GUCUGUCAGUCGGUCGUCCGGUCGGUCGGUCGGUCGGUCAGUCGUCUGUCUGUCU